rnacentral:rRNA from 1 species
AUUGAACGCUGGCGGCAUGCCUUACUCAUGCAAGUCGAACGGUAACAGGUCUUCGGAUGCUGACGAGUGGCGAACGGGUGAGUAAUACAUCGGAACGUGCCCGAUCGUGGGGGAUAACGCAGCGAAAGCUGUGCUAAUACCGCAUACGAUCUGCGGAUGAAAGUGGGGGAUCGCAAGACCUCGCGCGGACGGAGCGGCCGAUGGCAGAUUAGGUAGUUGGUGGGAUAAAGCUUACCAAGCCGACGAUCUGUAGCUGGUCUGAGAGGACGACCAGCCACACUGGGACUGAGACACGGCCCAGACUCCUACGGGAGGCAGCAGUGGGGAAUUUUGGACAUGGGGGAACCCUGAUCCAGCCAUGCCGCGUGCAGGAUGAAGGCCUUCGGGUCGUAACUAGCUUU